GUCCCAAAGAUCUUUCAAUUCAUCAGAAUAUGAAUAAGUUUCAUACUUAUAAAAUGGAUCCAAAGCAUACUAUGUAGAUAAAUUUGGAUAAAAUAUAUGGCCAUCAUAGGGCACUACAAGGAUCAUCUUCGAGACGAUCUUAUUAUAAAGGAAGAUGCAAUCAAAACAUUAAUCCAAUCUUUAUCAUUAUCUUUUCAAACUCUUGAAAAUAAUGUUAAAGUUGGAAGAUUAACAACUUUUAGAGAUGUUAUGCAUG
rnacentral:lncRNA from 1 species